rnacentral:rRNA from 1 species
GACGAACGCUGGCGGCGUGCUUAACACAUGCAAGUCGAACGGAAAGGCCCUGCUUUUGUGGGGUGCUCGAGUGGCGAACGGGUGAGUAACACGUGAGUAACCUGCCCUUGACUUUGGGAUAACUUCAGGAAACUGGGGCUAAUACCGGAUAGGAGCUCCUGCUGCUUGGUGGGGGUUGGAAAGUUUCGGCGGUUGGGGAUGGACUCGCGGCGUAUCAGCUUGUUGGAGGGGUAGUGGCUUACCAAGGCCUUGACGGGUAGCCGGCCUGAGCGGGUGACAGGCCACAUUGGGACUGAGAUACGGCCCAGACUCCUACGGGAGGCAGCAGUGGGGAAGAUUGCACAAUGGGCGGAAGCAUGAUGCAGCAACGCCGCGUGCGGGAUGACGGCCUUCGGGUUGUAUUCCGCUUUCGCCUGUGACGAAGCGUGAGUGACGGUAAUGGGUAAAGAAGCACCGGCUAACUACGUG